AUGUAUACGAAGAACAUUCUGAU
rnacentral:snRNA from 1 species